rnacentral:rRNA from 1 species
GCAAAACGCGAAGAACCUUACCUACCCUUGACAUGUCUGGAAUCCCGAAGAGAUUUGGGAGUGCUCGCAAGAGAACCGGAACACAGGUGCUGCAUGGCUGUCGUCAGCUCGUGUCGUGAGAUGUUGGGUUAAGUCCCGCAACGAGCGCAACCCUUGUCAUUAGUUGCUACGAAAGGGCACUCUAAUGAGACUGCCGGUGACAAACCGGAGGAAGGUGGGGAUGACGUCAAGUCCUCAUGGCCCUUAUAGGUGGGGCUACACACGUCAUACAAUGGCCGGUACAAAGGGCAGCCAACCCGCGAGGGGGAGCCAAUCCCAUAAAGCCGGUCGUAGUCCGGAUCGCAGUCUGCAACUCGACUGCGUGAAGUCGGAAUCGCUAGUAAUCGUGGAUCAGCAUGUCACGGUGAAUACGUUCCCGGGUCUUGUAC